rnacentral:rRNA from 1 species
GGAUUAGAUACCCUGGUAGUCCACCCCGUAAACGUUGGGAACUAGUUGUGGGGGCCAUUCCACGGUCUCCGUGACGCAGCUAACGCAUUAAGUUCCCCGCCUGGGGAGUACGGCCGCAAGGCUAAAACUCAAAGGAAUUGACGGGGACCCGCACAAGCGGCGGAGCAUGCGGAUUAAUUCGAUGCAACGCGAAGAACCUUACCAAGGCUUGACAUACACCAGAACGGGCCAGAAAUGGUCAACUCUUUGGACACUGGUGAACAGGUGGUGCAUGGUUGUCGUCAGCUCGUGCCG